AUGGACACGGGCGGCGAGGACAUCCUCGUCCUCCUGCAAUCCGCGUUCGUCGUCCCCUUCGAGGCCGCCAUCGACCGCCUCACUCCCCGGCUCUCGCCUCCCAGGCCUCGGCUGACGGCCUCCGCCCCCAUCUCUUCGUCCCGCUCCGUGACGGUACCACCAAAUGUGCAAGUGGAGCCAAUUGUUGUGAACUUUGAUAAACUUGAUCUCAUGCUUGUAGAGAAGGAUGAUUCAGAACAGAGGAAUGCUUCGCAGUCAAGAUAA
rnacentral:rRNA from 1 species